rnacentral:lncRNA from 1 species
AGAGUAUUCAGAGUGGCAUCGGUCAGGUGACUCCACCCUGUGUGACUGCAUCGCUCAGGGGACUUCUCCAUCUAUUUGUUUCUGCCCCUGGCAAGGCAGCAGGCAGCCAUUUUGAAGGCCAGACCAUGGUCUUGAUCUCCUUUGCUCUUCUUCAGCAUUUCGUUUCCCUAAAGCUACCUCUUCCUCCUCCUCUGACUCUCUUGCCUCUCUCUAAGCCACUUCUGUCUUUCUCCCCCUGCCCUUGUUCUACCCUUUUCACCUCCUGUAGAUUCAGGACAUUCUGAAUGUCCUGGUGUCUGACCUUAACCGUUCCAAUGGGGUAGUGCUCCCCACACUGGACAAGUGGAAGAAGACCAGUGUCUCCCUGUAAACCGUGGCCUUCUGUGCACCGAGCUCAGUGGCUCUUCCCCACCAAAACUCCUAAGAGAAGUCAUCUCUCCCCAAAAGGAUCCCCACAAGAUGUUCUGGCCCUCUGCUGACUGCUCCCUGGAAUCUGCAUCUCAAGCACUGAGAAUGCUGUGCUCUCCAUUGGUCACCUUCAGACUCCAUUUCCCUGCUGCCAAGUCUUCUCUUCUGCCCUGUGUAUUCCAUGGUGAACCCCUUAAUGUCUGUUCUGUGCCACUAGCUUGGCCCUGGGCCUUUUAUUUAUACCCGAGUCUUACAACGAAGAGUGUCCUGAGCAGACAGUGUCCA